AGACCCGAAACCCGGUGAUCUAGCCAUGGGCAGGUUGAAGGUUGGGUAACACUAACUGGAGGACCGAACCGACUAAUGUUGAAAAAUUAGCGGAUGACCUGUGGCUGGGGGUGAAAGGCCAAUCAAACCGGGAGAUAGCUGGUUCUCCCCGAAAGCUAUUUAGGUAGCGCCUCGUGAAUUCAUCUCCGGGGGUAGAGCACUGUUUCGGCUAGGGGGCCAUCCCGGCUUACCAACCCGAUGCAAACUGCGAAUACCGGAGAAUGUUAUCACGGGAGACACACGGCGGGUGCUAACGUCCGUCGUGAAGAGGGAAACAACCCAGACCGCCAGCUAAGGUCCCAAAGUCAUGGUUAAGUGGGAAACGAUGUGGGAAGGCCCAGACAGCCAGGAUGUUGGCUUAGAAGCAGCCAUCAUUUAAAGAAAGCGUAAUAGCUCACUGGUCGAGUCGGCCUGCGCGGAAGAUGUAACGGGGCUAAACCAUGCACCGAAGCUGCGGCAGCGAAGGUAUCACCCAAGACAACUUUACGGAGUUGACGAUUGACGGAGCGAAG
rnacentral:rRNA from 1 species